AGCGUACACGGUGGAUGCCCUGGCAGUCAGAGGCGAUGAAGGACGUGCUAAUCUGCGAUAAGCGUCGGUAAGGUGAUAUGAACCGUUAUAACCGGCGAUUUCCGAAUGGGGAAACCCAGUGUGUUUCGACACACUAUCAUUAACUGAAUCCAUAGGUUAAUGAGGCGAACCGGGGGAACUGAAACAUCUAAGUACCCCGAGGAAAAGAAAUCAACCGAGAUUCCCCCAGUAGCGGCGAGCGAACGGGGAGGAGCCCAGAGCCUGAAUCAGUGUGUGUGUUAGUGGAAGCGUCUGGAAAGGCGCGCGAUACAGGGUGACAGCCCCGUACACAAAAAUGCACAUAUUGUGAGCUCGAUGAGUAGGGCGGGACACGUGGUAUCCUGUCUGAAUAUGGGGGGACCAUCCUCCAAGGCUAAAUACUCCUGACUGACCGAUAGUGAACCAGUACCGUGAGGGAAAGGCGAAAAGAACCCCGGCGAGGGGAGUGAAAAAGAACCUGAAACCGUGUACGUACAAGCAGUGGGAGCCUCUUUUAUGGGGUGACUGCGUACCUUUUGUAUAAUGGGUCAGCGACUUAUAUUCUGUAGCAAGGUUAACCGAAUAGGGGAGCCGAAGGGAAACCGAGUCUUAACUGGGCGUUAAGUUGCAGGGUAUAGACCCGAAACCCGGUGAUCUAGCCAUGGGCAGGUUGAAGGUUGGGUAACACUAACUGGAGGACCGAACCGACUAAUGUUGAAAAAUUAGCGGAUGACUUGUGGCUGGGGGUGAAAGGCCAAUCAAACCGGGAGAUAGCUGGUUCUCCCCGAAAGCUAUUUAGGUAGCGCCUCGUGAAUUCAUCUCCGGGGGUAGAGCACUGUUUCGGCAAGGGGGUCAUCCCGACUUACCAACCCGAUGCAAACUGCGAAUACCGGAGAAUGUUAUCACGGGAGACACACGGCGGGUGCUAACGUCCGUCGUGAAGAGGGAAACAACCCAGACCGCCAGCUAAGGUCCCAAAGUCAUGGUUAAGUGGGAAACGAUGUGGGAAGGCCCAGACAGCCAGGAUGUUGGCUUAGAAGCAGCCAUCAUUUAAAGAAAGCGUAAUAGCUCACUGGUCGAGUCGGCCUGCGCGGAAGAUGUAACGGGGCUAAACCAUGCACCGAAGCUGCGGCAGCGACACUAUGUGUUGUUGGGUAGGGGAGCGUUCUGUAAGCCUGUGAAGGUGUACUGUGAGGUAUGCUGGAGGUAUCAGAAGUGCGAAUGCUGACAUAAGUAACGAUAAAGCGGGUGAAAAGCCCGCUCGCCGGAAGACCAAGGGUUCCUGUCCAACGUUAAUCGGGGCAGGGUGAGUCGACCCCUAAGGCGAGGCCGAAAGGCGUAGUCGAUGGGAAACAGGUUAAUAUUCCUGUACUUGGUGUUACUGCGAAGGGGGGACGGAGAAGGCUAUGUUGGCCGGGCGACGGUUGUCCCGGUUUAAGCGUGUAGGCUGGUUUUCCAGGCAAAUCCGGAAAAUCAAGGCUGAGGCGUGAUGACGAGGCACUACGGUGCUGAAGCAACAAAUGCCCUGCUUCCAGGAAAAGCCUCUAAGCAUCAGGUAACAUCAAAUCGUACCCCAAACCGACACAGGUGGUCAGGUAGAGAAUACCAAGGCGCUUGAGAGAACUCGGGUGAAGGAACUAGGCAAAAUGGUGCCGUAACUUCGGGAGAAGGCACGCUGAUAUGUAGGUGAAGUCCCUCGCGGAUGGAGCUGAAAUCAGUCGAAGAUACCAGCUGGCUGCAACUGUUUAUUAAAAACACAGCACUGUGCAAACACGAAAGUGGACGUAUACGGUGUGACGCCUGCCCGGUGCCGGAAGGUUAAUUGAUGGGGUUAGCGCAAGCGAAGCUCUUGAUCGAAGCCCCGGUAAACGGCGGCCGUAACUAUAACGGUCCUAAGGUAGCGAAAUUCCUUGUCGGGUAAGUUCCGACCUGCACGAAUGGCGUAAUGAUGGCCAGGCUGUCUCCACCCGAGACUCAGUGAAAUUGAACUCGCUGUGAAGAUGCAGUGUACCCGCGGCAAGACGGAAAGACCCCGUGAACCUUUACUAUAGCUUGACACUGAACAUUGAGCCUUGAUGUGUAGGAUAGGUGGGAGGCUUUGAAGUGUGGACGCCAGUCUGCAUGGAGCCGACCUUGAAAUACCACCCUUUAAUGUUUGAUGUUCUAACGUGGACCCGUGAUCCGGGUUGCGGACAGUGUCUGGUGGGUAGUUUGACUGGGGCGGUCUCCUCCUAAAGAGUAACGGAGGAGCACGAAGGUUGGCUAAUCCUGGUCGGACAUCAGGAGGUUAGUGCAAUGGCAUAAGCCAGCUUGACUGCGAGCGUGACGGCGCGAGCAGGUGCGAAAGCAGGUCAUAGUGAUCCGGUGGUUCUGAAUGGAAGGGCCAUCGCUCAACGGAUAAAAGGUACUCCGGGGAUAACAGGCUGAUACCGCCCAAGAGUUCAUAUCGACGGCGGUGUUUGGCACCUCGAUGUCGGCUCAUCACAUCCUGGGGCUGAAGUAGGUCCCAAGGGUAUGGCUGUUCGCCAUUUAAAGUGGUACGCGAGCUGGGUUUAGAACGUCGUGAGACAGUUCGGUCCCUAUCUGCCGUGGGCGCUGGAGAACUGAGGGGGGCUGCUCCUAGUACGAGAGGACCGGAGUGGACGCAUCACUGGUGUUCGGGUUGUCAUGCCAAUGGCACUGCCCGGUAGCUAAAUGCGGAAGAGAUAAGUGCUGAAAGCAUCUAAGCACGAAACUUGCCCCGAGAUGAGUUCUCCCUGACUCCUUGA
rnacentral:rRNA from 1 species